AGAGUUUGAUCCUGGCUCAGGAUGAACGCUAGCGGCAGGCCUAAUACAUGCAAGUCGGACGGGAUUGAGGAGCUUGCUUCUCAUGAGAGUGGCGCACGGGUGCGUAACACGUAUGUAACCUACCUUCAUCAGGGGGAUAGCCUCUCGAAAGAGAGAUUAACACCGCAUAAAAUCACAGUGCAGCAUUGCAUAAUGAUCAAAUAUUUAUAGGAUGAAGAUGGGCAUGCGGGACAUUAGCUAGUUGGUGUGGGUAACGGCCCACCAAGGCGACGAUGUCUAGGGGAUCUGAGAGGAUGACCCCCCACACUGGUACUGAGACACGGACCAGACUCCUACGGGAGGCAGCAGUAAGGAAUAUUGGUCAAUGGAGGCAACUCUGAACCAGCCAUGCCGCGUGCAGGAAGACGGCCCUACGGGUUGUAAACUGCUUUUGUACCGGAAUAAACCUUUGGUCGUGACCGAAGCUGAAUGUACGGUAAGAAUAAGGAUCGGCUAACUCCGUGCCAGCAGCCGCGGUAAUACGGAGGAUCCAAGCGUUAUCCGGAUUUAUUGGGUUUAAAGGGUGCGUAGGUGGCCUAUUAAGUCAGGGGUGAAAGACGGUAGCUUAACUAUCGCAGUGCCUUUGAUACUGAUGGGCUUGAAUACAGUUGAAGUAGGCGGAAUGUGACAAGUAGCGGUGAAAUGCAUAGAGAUGUGAAGGAACACCGAUGGCGAAGGCGGCUCUCUGAUCUGUGACUGACGCUGAGGCGCGAAAGCGUGGGGAGCGAACAGGAUUAGAUACCCUGGUAGUCCACGCCGUAAACGAUGAGUGCUAAGUGUUAGAGGGUUUCCGCCCUUUAGUGCUGCAGCAAACGCAUUAAGCACUCCGCCUGGGGAGUACGGUCGCAAGACUGAAACUCAAAGGAAUUGACGGGGACCCGCACAAGCGGUGGAGCAUGUGGUUUAAUUCGAAGCAACGCGAAGAACCUUACCAGGUCUUGACAUCCUCUGCUACUUCUAGAGAUAGAAGGUUCCCUUCGGGGACAGAGUGACAGGUGGUGCAUGGUUGUCGUCAGCUCGUGUCGUGAGAUGUUGGGUUAAGUCCCGCAACGAGCGCAACCCUUGAUCUUAGUUGCCAGCAUUCAGUUGGGCACUCUAAGGUGACUGCCGGUGACAAACCGGAGGAAGGUGGGGAUGACGUCAAAUCAUCAUGCCCCUUAUGACCUGGGCUACACACGUGCUACAAUGGAUGGUACAAAGGGCUGCAAAACCGCGAGGUUAAGCCAAUCCCAUAAAACCAUUCUCAGUUCGGAUUGUAGGCUGCAACUCGCCUACAUGAAGCCGGAAUCGCUAGUAAUCGCGGAUCAGCAUGCCGCGGUGAAUACGUUCCCGGGUCUUGUACACACCGCCCGUCACACCACGAGAGUUUGUAACACCCGAAGUCGGUGAGGUAACCUUUUGGAGCCAGCCGCCGAAGGUGGGACAGAUGAUUGGGGUGAAGUCGUAACAAGGUA
rnacentral:rRNA from 1 species